CUGUGCUGUACAAAGCAGCUGGAUCCUCUCCAGUGUCCCGACCUCUGUUUCUGAGAAGAAGAAAAAAAAGAUGUGUGAUUUGUAGUGAGGAUAAUGUUCCUGUGUGAGGAGCUGCUCACCUCGGGGCAGUACUGCCACUGUUGAAGCUGACGGCAGCGUACUCAACGGCUUCCUGUUGCUCCCUGUGUCUGAGGGGCGGAGCAGCUCUGAUGUUGGAGUACAGAGGAUCUGCCUGGCUGUUGGAGACGUGGAUGGUGGCGUACUGAAGGUCAACCUGCUCCUCUGGCUCACUCGGAUCAGGUUUUCAGCCGUGCCUUCACCUGUUGCAGCACUCCUCUUCCUCUCCAAAGCUGAAUGCUGAUGUUUCCUGUCUAAGCGGUGACAUAAAACACAUCACUCGAGCUGCUGCGAGGGAAUGUAGCCGGACUACACCAUUUUGUAAACAUAGCCAUGCUGAGAUAUACAGAGAGA